rnacentral:rRNA from 1 species
AUUGAACGCUGGCGGCAUGCCUUACACAUGCAAGUCGAACGUGAAAGGGGGGCAACCCCCGAGUAGAGUGGCGGACGGGUGAGCAACACAUCGGAACGUACCCAGUAGUGGGGGACAACCUCGAGAAAUCGAGGCUAAUACCGCAUACGACCCACGGGUGAAAGCGGGGGACCGCAAGGCCUCGCGCUAUUGGAGCGGCCGAUGUCCGAUUAGCUUGUUGGUGGGGUAACGGCCCACCAAGGCGACGAUCGGUAGCUGGUCUGAGAGGAUGAUCAGCCACACUGGGACUGAGACACGGCCCAGACUCCUACGGGAGGCAGCAGUGGGGAAUUUUGGACAAUGGGGGCAACCCUGAUCCAGCCAUGCCGCGUGCGGGAAGAAGGCCUU